CAAGCGCAGUGGACUCCAGAUCCAAAGGUUGGGGGUUCGAAUCCCUCUGGGG
rnacentral:tRNA from 17 species